UAGAUUAACCGUCAUAUCCCGCCUUCUCUCUCCCCAUCUUCGUUUUCGCUGUACCUCGUCUUUCUCUUUCUUCAUUUCCCCCAUCUCUAUCUCCUCUUCCAUUGCUGAUAAUCGGGGCAUCACACAACAAACUCAAAAUCAAGUCAAUUGAGCCAGGCAAAUGGAAAGUGAAAGGGAUUUCUCUUUCCAGAUUUCAUGAUCCUUAUCACUUGAAAUGUUUCUUUGUUUGUUUGUCUCCCUUUCUUGACCCGGUUGGCCUCAGCAAUCCAAUGUCGUGUGCCCUAUUUCGAAGAAUCAGUCGACGUUGGGACUGAAUCCCUUCCCCGUUGAUCCGUGGAAUCUUCGAGCCUCCGUUGGAUUUUCAAUCCCUAAUUUGGAUUGUGUGAUUGCCCCCAAUUUCUCCCCAAUUUUAGAUUUGAAUACAUUCCUCUCCUUUGUUUUUGAUUGUUUUCUUCGCUGAUCUGUGGUGUUCGAACUGAAUACGAAUGCUAGGAAACCGUAAAGGAGCUGCUGCCUUUGAAGAAAUUGUGGAUUUGUAACUUGUUAUGGAUUCGCCAUUGUUGAUUCUCGUAGCUGCUAUCUUCUUCGGAGUUUUCAGCCUCGUUGUUGAAUCUCAAGGAAAUGUGAAGCCCCCACCGCCGCCAUUCUCUACUCCUCCCCCAUCUCCACCACCGCCAUUUUCCCCUCCUCCCCCAUCUCCGCCGCCUCCUCAAUCCCCUCCCCCGCCGCCAGAAUCUCCUCCACCUCCGCCUUCCCCAUCCCCUUCAAGGUCGCCUCCGCCGCCGCGAAAACGCCUCCAACCGCCCCCUCCGCCGUGGCAGCGCGAGCACCGUCGAGGGCGCCCGAGCCCCCCUCCUCCGCCCAAGACACAGAAGCUCAACACGGGGCAGAAAGUCGGGCUGAUGUUCAUUGGAGUUGCCGCGAUCUUGCAAGUUUGCGUAGUCUCAUUCGUGUUGAUCAGUAGAAGGCAACUAUUGAAAGCUGAAACUGUUGAUUGAAUGAAUCACAAGUCGAAUGUUUUUCUUCAAUAGCACAAUUUUUUUGUUCAUGAUGUGAUUUUUUUUAUUCGUGGACCGGCUGGAUUGAUAUUCUUUAUUUAUGGAGAAUGGGUCUGAGAAUCGAUGGAACUUUGGUGUCUGCAUUUUGUAAAUGGGGGGGUAGAAGAGGAGUUAACUGUGUCUGCUCACAAAACUUAUCAACAUUCGAAGACAAAAAAAAUGAUUAGUUGAAAGUGACAACUGAAAACCACCACGUUUGUAUCAUUCUUUUCUGUUUAUAAGUCUCAUUAGAAAUUUAACUAAUAUGGUGAUUAUUAUCAUCUUGUAGUUUGUGUGAUUUAAGCUUGCAUGAACUUCAGAUAUCCAGUUACCAAUGGUUGUUUCCGAUGAUGACUUCAGAUAAAAGAUGGAAAUUAUAUUAGUUAAUAUGAAAAUUAUACUCCCUAUAUUUCUCCACUUGGGAUACCUGCCUUAAAAGUCACCAACUUUGUCCGAAUUCCGGUUUUUCCCACGACCUUAAAAUUGGCAUAUAAAGUCACCAACUUUGCAUUUAGUCGCCGAUUUCCCAUGAUGGUUUUUUCGGCCAACGAGUGAGCCAACGUGUCGUUUUUAAUUGACGCGGCGGCUGAAAUGGUCAACAAAUAUUGACUGGGAAUAAAAAAAAAUUAAGAAAUGAAAUUUAAAAGAAAAAUUAAAAAUCAAAAUUACCCCCAAUUUUCAACCCCAUUCGCCCCCAAAUUAAAGUAACCUAAUUAACCUAAAUUGACUAGCAAAGUUGAGGCGACGACGACGGCGAAGUUGAGGAGUUUCGUCGGCCUUCCGAUGAUCGCUUUUAUACUGGUGACGCUUCACCAAUUCGCAGCCGGAGAGGGCGGCGCUCCUUCACCAGCACCGGCGCCUUCUAACGACGGCACUGCGAUUGAUCAAGGAAUUGCUUACACCCUGCUGCUUGUGCGUAAAAGUGAAUACCAUUCUCAUUAAAAUUCUAUCUACAAGUAAGCUACAAAUAUGGGGACUCCUGGAAUUUUCUCACUCUAGUAAUUGGCGAAAACGCAUGAAGAAUUGAAUAAACAUCAGUAAACCACCAAAAUCAUCUCCAUAAAACUCUAAAUCGAGGCGACGGCUUUAACAAAAUUCAUCGGAAGGUUCAAUUUUAGGUUUGAUUUAAACCGGAAUUCGUGCAAAGUUGAUAACUUUUAAGGCAGUAUCCCUUUCCACUUCGUAUUUAUUACCUUUCUCUUUUAUUUUGGACACUUUUGCAGAUGCAAGUUGUGACUUUGGUCUCA